rnacentral:rRNA from 1 species
AGUGAACGCUGGCGGUAGGCCUAACACAUGCAAGUCGAACGGCAGCACAGUAAGAGCUUGCUCUUACGGGUGGCGAGUGGCGGACGGGUGAGGAAUACAUCGGAAUCUACUUUUUCGUGGGGGAUAACGUAGGGAAACUUACGCUAAUACCGCAUACGACCUACGGGUGAAAGCAGGGGAUCUUCGGACCUUGCGCGAUUGAAUGAGCCGAUGUCGGAUUAGCUAGUUGGCGGGGUAAAGGCCCACCAAGGCGACGAUCCGUAGCUGGUCUGAGAGGAUGAUCGGCCACACUGGAACUGGGACACGGUCCAGACUCCUACGGGAGGCAGCAGUGGGGAAUAUUGGACAAUGGGCGAAAGCCUGAUCCAGCCAUACCGCGUGGGUGAAGAAGGCCUUCGGGUUGUAAAGCCCUUUUGUUGGGAAAGAAAAGCAGCAGGUUAAUACCCCGCUGUUCUGACGGUACCCAAAGAAUAAGCACCGGCUAACUUCGUG